rnacentral:rRNA from 1 species
UGGGGAAUUUUGCACAAUGGGGGAAACCCUGAUGCAGCGACGCCGCGUGAUUUAGAAGGCCUUCGGGUUGUAAAAAUCUUUUUUACGGGAUGAAAAUGACAGUACCGUAAGAAUAAGGUCCGGCUAAAUACGUGCCAGCAGCCGCGGUAAUACGUAUGGACCGAGCGUUGUCCGGAAUCAUUGGGCGUAAAGGGUACGUAGGCGGCCUAGUAAGUUAGAAGUGAAAUAAUAUAGCUCAACUAUAUAAAGCUUUUAAAACUGCUAGGGUUGAGAGAUGGAAGGGAAAGUGGAAUUCCUAGUGUAGCGGUGAAAUGCGCAGAUAUUAGGAAGAAUACCGGUGGCGAAGGCGACUUUCUGGUCAUCAUCUGACGCUGAGGUACGAAAGCGUGGGUAGCAAACAGG